rnacentral:rRNA from 1 species
UACAGAGGGUGCGAGCGUUAAUCGGAAUCAUUGGGCGUAAAGCGCACGUAGGCGGUCCGUUAUGUCGGGUGUGAAAGCCCUCGGCUUAAACCCGAGGAAGUGCAGUUCGAAACUGGACGGACUUGAGUACCGGAGGAGGGUCGGCGGAAUUCCCGGUUCGGUAGAGGUGGAAAUUCGAUUAGAUAUCGGGAGGGAACACCAGUG